rnacentral:lncRNA from 10 species
UGAGAUAACUUAAAUUUAUUUUAUGGCUUGAGGUUUCUAACUAUGCCAUGCUAUUCUUAUCCCAAAACUAUGUGAGGAUUGAUGUAUAGUUGUGAAUUGUUGAGUUCUGUGCCUGGCCUACAGAUUAACCAGUUACAAAAAGGUUAGAAAUUCUGAUCAGUCUACUUUUGGUCAGUAUGUCCCUCAACUUACUUAUCACUGUGGCCAAGAAGGUGAGUUUAUGUAAAGAUAUGGCAUCUGCCGUUCAACCACAGUUAAGGGUAAAAGGGACUGAGGUCAGAAAAAAGGAAUUCCUCAGAAGAAGCAGGUAUUCUUGUCCAAGGAACAGGUGCUAGACAGUGGAAACAUAAAAAUCCAACUCAAACCAAAUAAAGUAUAGACUAAAUUGACAUUGAUACAUUCUCACAAACAGAUAUUAUACAGCUCCUAAGAACUUUACAGGAGAAUAUUUAAUAAUAUGAAAAUAUGCUCAUAAUACUUUAAGUGAUAAAAAGCAAUUUUUAAAAUUAUGAAAAUUAUUCCAUUUUAAGGAGGCAAAUAUAUUUCUAAAAAUACAUGUACAUGGGCCAGGCACGGUGGCUCACGUCUGUAAUCCCAGCAAUUUGGGAGGCUGAGGUGGGCGGAUCAUGAGGUUAGGAGAUCGAGACCAUCCUGGCUAACACAGUGAAACCCCCUCUGAUAAAAAUACAAAAAAUUAGCCAGGUGUGGUGCAGGCGCCUAUAAUCCCAGCUACUCAGGAGUCUGAGGCAGGAGAAUGGCAUGAACCUGGGAGGCGGAGCUUGCAGUGAGCUGAGAUUUUGCAACUGCACUCCAGCCUGGGCUACAGAGCAAGACUCCACCUCAAAAAAAAAAAAAAUACAUGUACAUGUAGAAAAAAGACUGGAAGGUGAUACAUGAAAAUGUCAAUACGAUCUCAGUCUUUACCUACUGAACAGAGGAUGUUGUACACUGAUUACAUUUACCCUUUUCUUCCAUAGGAUCAUAGAAGUGUUCCUAUUAGGGAGAAUUCAGGCCGUCUCAAUUUCUGAAGGCUGGGAAGUCCAAGAGGAUAGCACUGGCAUCUGGCAAGGGCCUUCAUGCUGCAUCAUCCCAUGGUGGAAGGCAGAAGGGAAAAGAAUCAAUCAGAAUGAUGGACACAGCAUCUUUAUGGCCUAUCUAGUUUACUGUAGUUUUUAUGGGCUUAAGAAGAAGACCACCUUGUCUAAUCAUGAAAUUUUGAAAAAUUUAAACAUAAAAAAUAAAAUUCCUACAUUCUGG